CCUGAGGGAACAGUCAAACCUUGCUCUUUCCUGCAGCACUUACACAGCCCUGCCCACCGUUUAAGGCAGGAAAUAGGCCCGUGCGACUCCAGAAGGCCAUUCUGGACAGAAAUUGUGUGUGUGCACAGAAUAUCAUGCGGGAGGGAUGAUAACCUCCAAGACUUCACCUUCUACCAGUCAUCAGUCAAAGCAGUUCAGACUUACAGAUGGCACUGCACUCUGAGUCACCACCACUCUUUAUAAGAAGUCAGGGGACUUGGCUUGAAUGUGUCACCAGAGCAUUAAGUUGACGGACAGCUGGGGGCUGAGUGGUGGCGCACCUGGUUGAGCGCACACGUUACUGUGGGCAAGGACGUGGGUUUAAGCUCCUGGUCCCGACCUGCAGGGGAAGAGCUUCUCGAGUGGUAAUGCUGAGUUGCAGGUAUCUCCCUCUCUCCCUCUCCCCGCUUGAUUUCUCUCUAUCCAAUGAUAAUUAUUUUUUUUAAUUAAGGGAUUCCCAGCCAUCUUCUUUGGUUGGGAGGAAGCAAACGUCCUCUCCCAAACAGGGACAGGCACUUUCUAUGAACCACCCAGAAAGGGCCCUGGCAGGUCUGGAUUGGUCAUAGUUGCUUCCUUCUCUCAGCCAAUUCUUCUGCUCAGCAGAAGAGACUGAGGUAUGAAGUGAACCUGGAGAACAGCAGCAGGCAGGCAGGGUCCUCAGAAGAAGAAAGACCACCUCUGCUACUCUCCUCCAGCCCCUCCACCUCCAUGUCUCACUCUGAGCUCUACUCUGUGUGGACAGUGCUGGCUACAGUGCCAGCAGGAGAAGAGAGGCCCAGAGAACUGCCCAUGGAGCUGAUGUCAGGAUCCGGAAAAGAACAGAGGCCGGGAGAUGGCUGGCUGGGUGGGGUGCAUUCCCUGCUGUGCAGACAACCCAAGUUCAAGCUCUGGCAGUGUCAUGGCAUCAAGAGAAGAUGCCUAAGAACUUCAACCUAGCUGCUGAGGCUACAGAUGACAGCAGGUGGGAACCUGGGAGGCAGUGAGAGCCGAAGUCCUACAAGUGUGAGGUGCCAAGUUCAUUCGUUCAACCAUUCAACCUGGAAUUGCAAGUGCCAGGAUGAUGUCCUGGUUCUCUGAAUCAUAAAUAAAUAAAUCUCUUUUUUU